AGCUAGCUGCAGAUUAUUUCCCCAGAGAAGUCAUUCUAGUGUGCCUCUAUGCUUUGUUUGCUGCUGCUGAUUGAUCACUGUUCAUAUCUAGCACUAAUAUUGCCGACUCCUUGGGUGUCUCUCGGUCCAACUCCAAAAUCUUUUAAUAAGUUAUUUUUCCCAUGCCAUGAGAGCCUGAUUAGGCUGGCAUUUGGUAGUUGGGUUUAUGGACCCUCGUCUUGGAGGCGAUUUUGCAGGGCUCACAUAUGAUAACAUAUGUCAGGCCUCUCGGAUCUAAACAAAAGUAGGAUAAUU
rnacentral:lncRNA from 1 species